CUUUUCAGCUGCAGCCAGGUUGAAAGGUUAAUGAUCGUGAUUAUUGGGUAUCAUCACAUGUCAAUUGGGUAUUUCUUCUGAGGCUGAACAUCAUCAGCGUACGGUGUGUACCGUAAGAAAGUGUAUACUCUUCGGGGAAAGAGACCUCACUCUAGUAUAGCCCUGCUCUAGCUGACGGAUAGACGGUCUAAUCAUUGAUGUGAAGAUCCACAUAAUGGGGGAAUAUACGCCACGGCCCUCCAUUCUAUGUUUUAUCGGACUCUUUCUCGCAAGCGUCUCGGGUCCCGUCGACUGCAAACCACCCAACAUCCUUUUCAUCUUGGCCGAUGAUUACGGUUUCCAUGACAUCGGUUACCAUAGCUCCGAGAUCGAGACACCCAACCUAAACCGGUUGGCCGCGGGGGGCGUCAGACUGGAGAACUACUACGUCCAGCCCAUCUGCACGCCGACACGUAGCCAGCUGAUGAGCGGCAAAUAUCAGAUCCACACCGGGUUGCAGCACGGGAUUAUUACAUUUGAACAACCCAGUUGCUUGCCUCUCGAUGACGUCACUCUGGCCCAGAAACUCAAGGAGUCAGGGUACGCGACCCACAUUGUAGGCAAAUGGCACCUUGGGAUUUACAAAAAGGCAUGCUGGCCCACCCGCCGCGGGUUCGACAGCUACUUUGGCUACUUGCAAGGAAGCGAAGACUACUACACACAUUCCGUAGCCGGAGGACUAGAUUUGAGAGAUAACGAAGACUCAGUAUGGAACUACACUGGUUCCUAUUCCACCACGCUGUUCACACAACGGGCCCAGGAGCUCCUGCGACGGCAUAGUAGUCAGACACCGGACACGCCGUUGUUCCUCUACCUGCCGUACCAAGCCGUCCACGAACCCUUGGAGGUACCCGAGCAGUACAUGGUCCCGUACGCGCAUAUCACGGACAAAAAGAGGCGCAUCUAUGCCGGGAUGGUAGCGUGUAUGGAUGAGGGGAUCGGCAACAUCACACAGACGAUGGACCAGCUGGGACUGUGGAAAGAUACAGUGCUCGUCUUCUCAACAGAUAAUGGAGGACAAAUUUAUGAUGGCGGCAACAACUGGCCCCUGCGCGGGUGGAAAGGGAGUUUGUGGGAAGGCGGUAUGCACGGCAUAGGGUUCGUGCAUAGCCCCCUCCUACCAGCCAAGGUACAAGGUACCAUCAACAGGGAACUCAUGCAUGUCAGCGAUUGGUUUCCCACGCUGGUUGCGGGCCUGGCUGGAGGGAGUUUGAACGGCACCAAACUGGACGGAUAUAACAUGUGGAAUACCAUUAGUCGUGGUGAUCCGUCACCUCGUAAGGAAAUCCUUCACAAUAUCGAUCCGCUGUUUCCACGGCCUAAAACACACUCGAUGUCUGUGAUUGGAACGAAGGUGUUUAAUGAGACCAUUCGGGCGGCGAUACGAUCAGGCGACUGGAAGCUGAUCACUGGAUCGCCAGGUAACAGCAGCUGGAUUCCCCCUCCUGACUACGGAUUUACCCCGGUCACCCAAAUCGAAGCACCCGGUAAGAUGGUGUGGUUGUUCAACAUCACGGCAGACCCCAGCGAAUACUACGACAUGUCUUCCCAACGUCCAGACGUCGUGCAGCGCUUGAUGCAGAGGCUGCAGUACUACUACGAGGGUGCAGUACCGGUGUUUUACCCGCCGAACGACCCCAGGGCUAAUCCCAAGUAUCACAAUGGCACCUGGAGUAAUUGGGAGUAAAUUCCCCUUUUUCAUAUCAAGUUAGUUUAUAAAGAACUUUUUCGUUUCCACAUUUAGCAAUAGGCCAACUGCAUUUUAUACCUCAUCAAAUGUAAGUAAGAUUUUGGACCUAAUUAAUUUUUCUGAUUUUCUAAAAUGUAUGAAUAUGAACCUGUAACGUCAACUUUGAUAGUGGCCUUAUGGUGAUGGAGUCAAUAAUUACGUAAAAUUUGAUAAAAAGAGUAUUUUGAUCAAUUCGUUACAAUUCUAAUACGGGAAGAAGUACAAUGCUGGUUUAUGUAUAUAUUUGUUCUUGUACUCUAUGGAUUUUAGUGCACUAUAGGAAACAUGAAUGAGUCCAGUGUAUAGUGUGAAAUUUGGACUCUAUAAAAUAUGGACUUAUUGGUUGUGCGCAUGUCUAAUUGGAACGUGUGAGUCCACAUAAGGUGAAAGAGAUCAGAUUUCAUAGGAGUCAAAAUUUCAUAUGAAACUGCGUUCCACAAAUUUUGGAAUAUUAGUUUUCUUGUUUUAUUCCACAAAAAGGAACACACCCAUUACCCUGGUGAGGGUUACAUCAAAAGGUUUAAAUAACACAAUUACAAUUCAAGUUUAAAUCAUGACAGCAUAUUCAUUUUAAUACUCCUAGUGCUACGCUGCACGUUGUUUACGCAUUGGCAGAAACAUUAAUUAGUCAAACUGACGGGCCUAUUUCAUUUCUUUGUUCUUUUGGACUAUAAUAGUAAUAUUUCCUAAAUUUCGUGGUCAUAUGUGACAAACUGUUUUAUUAAAAUAAAAAGCACGUGUGCUUUACCA
rnacentral:misc_RNA from 1 species